AAGGGUAGCAAUACCUGAGUAAAGUGGCGCACGGGUGAGUAACACGUGACUAACCUACCCUGGAGUGGGGGAUAACUGAGGGAAACCUUAGCUAAUACCGCAUAAUACCUACGGGUCAAAGGAGCAAUUCGCUUUGGGAGGGGGUCGCGGCCGAUUAGUUAGUUGGCGGGGUAAUGGCCCACCAAGACGAUGAUCGGUAUCCGGCCUGAGAGGGCGCACGGACACACUGGAACUGAAACACGGUCCAGACUCCUACGGGAGGCAGCAGCGGGGAAUUUUGCGCAAUGGGGGAAACCCUGACGCAGCAACGCCGCGUGGAGGAUGAAGUCCUUCGGG
rnacentral:rRNA from 1 species